rnacentral:rRNA from 1 species
UACGUAGGUGGCAAGCGUUGUCCGGAUUUACUGGGCGUAAAGAGCGCGCAGGCGGUCGGAUAAGUCGAAUGUGAAAGCCCCCGGCUCAACUGGGGAGGGUCAUUCGAUACUGUUCGACUCGAAGGCAGGAGAGGGAAGUGGAAUUCCCGGUGUAGUGGUGAAAUGCGUAGAUAUCGGGAGGAACACCAGUGGCGAAGGCGGCUCUCUGGUACGUGACUGACGCUGAGACGCGAAAGCGUGGGGAGCGAACAGG